CCUGUAUUGCGCCACAUAUUUUCUGUUUUAAGUUGCUGUUUUAAAUUAAAAUAUUUGUAAGCUGCAUGGGACUACUUACGUUUUGGAAAAUGGCAUUUAAUUAAUCACUUUUUUUUAAAUUUCAGUUAUAGUUCAUAAUUUGUUUAUAUGAAAAUUUUCUAAUUUUCGGAUUCAUACAUUAUAAGUAUAGCCUUCAUUUCACCCUGAUCUUCUGAUGCAAAUUAAUACUGUAUUAAGUAGUUUGAUAUUUGGAUGGAAAAUUUGUCUUGUAAUUUUGUUUCUUAGGCUUUGAAGAAUGCAGAUAAACAACUCCUGGAACCUGUCAUGAAAUUGGAAGUGACCAUGCCUGGAAACUACGUUGGUGUAGUAGUUGCUGAUCUUGCACAGAGGAGAGGCAACAUAAAUGACAUUCAAGGUCGCCUAGAUAACCAGGUUGUGAUCGCAGCUGUUCCCCUCGCAGAAAUGAUGGGCUACUCAACAGUUUUACGUUCCUUGACAUCUGGGACUGCUACAUUUACGCUGGAAUUGGCAAACUACCACCCAAUGAGCCUUUUUGAGCAAAAUGCUUUGCUUAAUAAGAGGACUGGUUUGGCAUGAUCUCAUGUAGUAGUACUGACAUCCUAUGUUUUAAUCUUAUGUUAGGAAACAGUUUAUGUUGCAAUUACAAUGAUCAAAAGUAUAGAUUGCUGCUGCAGCCUGUUUAUAUGUCAAUAGAAACUAUAAGAUAUAAAUUGUAAUUCAUCUUCAGAAAAAUUGAGGUUUCGUGACUGUUAACGGUUAUUCCACUGAAGGACUACAACUGCCUUUUUCCUGAACUGUUAUAU